UAAGCAAACAGGUGUCAUCACAAGGGAUGUGCACCAGGGACGAAAACAUAAGGAGUCUCUGAACCAGUUUUUGAAUUAAUGCAAAUCUAAAAACAUUAUUAAUACAUUUUGACUAUUGCUUGGGGAUCAAGAGUGGGCACAAUGGGUAGUGGACAAGUAUUAUCAUUUUUGCUUAUACUUACAGUAGCCACUGGGGUUGCUCCACAAGCUACCAACACAGCUGCCCCAACAACAACAACCACAGCUGCCCCAAC